GGUGGGAUGGGAGGCCAGGAGAUGGGGAGCAACGGAUGGUGCUGGGUACAUUAGGCACUGCAAGAGUGUGCUUUUGCCCUGGAAGCUGCACAAGGGCCGCACAGUGGGCUGAGUAAUGGUCACUCCAAGUUGUGUAUGUCUUAAUGCCCCAUGAAUGUACCUUAGAGCAGCCAAAGAGGCUUUGCAGGUGUGAUUAAGGACCCUGAGAUGAGGAGAUGAUCCUGGAUUACCUGGUGGGUCCUAAGUGUCAUCACAAGGGUCCACCUUUAUAAGAGGGACACAGGAGGAACAAGUGAGAGCAGGCACUGUGACCACGAGGCAGAAAUUGGAGUGACACACUUUGAGGAUAGAAGGAGGGACGAAAAGCACAGGCUGCACAGAGUCCAUAAUUGGAUGUGAGGAAGAUCCCGCAGGCCCUUGCUGCUGCGCAAAGGCCCCAUGAGCAGAAGCCUAGAAGCCAGUUAAAGCAAGAAAACAGACUCUCAUCUAGACCCUCCAAAAAGCAACACAGCCCUGCUGACACCUUGGUUCUGGCCCAGUGAGACCCAUUUUGGACUUCUGAACUCCAGAACCGUAAGAGUACAUUCCUGUAGUUUUUAAGCUGCUACAUUUGUGGCAAUUUGUUACAGCAGCAACAAGAAGUUUAAAUAUAGAGGAUGGGGAAGAAUUCACAGGAGAGGAAGUUGCAUCUCCAUCUGACUCAAUUCAAAUACUCCCUGUGAGGGAUUUCCCCAUCCCCAGACCUCUCAGGACACCCAGUGCCUGGGCCUCUGGUCUCCUGCUCGCUGAGAUCCAAGCAGGUCAACAGCUGGGCAGGGCUCACCCAGCACUGGCUGCCAGGGUGCAGGGUGUGGGGUACGCUGUGCAUCCCAGCCCCAGAUGAGAGCACACAGGCUGCCUUCCUCUUCUCUACCCGGGCAGCUGCUUGUCAAACUCCUGUAUCCAUUCUCUCCUCUUCCUCAGUAAUAGUUCUUAACCAAGCAUAUGGCUUCCGAGCAUAAAAACUACAUUUCCCAGUUUCCCUGCAAGCUGAUGUGACCAUGCGACUGACUCCAGCCCAUGGAAUGUAAGUAGCGGUGAACACUCCAUCUUCAGGUCACAUAGCCUUAAAGGGACAGGAUCUCGCUGCUUCUCCGUUCACCUUCUCUUAGGCUGGAGAAAGGAAGAGGUGAGGAGCCAUCAGGGAGCAACAGAGCCCAGUUAGGGAGCCUGGCCCGGGCCAUCCAAGUGGACAGAGCUGCCGGGGACCAAAGGACCCCCCACCCACAAAAUGGCAAACUUCUUGUUUCUCUUCCGGGUUCUCUGCUCCCGCCGGCGCCAGCCAAGGCCCAAUCACCCCUCCACACGCUCCCGCCGGCGCCACCUAAGGUCCAAUCACCUUCUGACCCACCCCUUCCUCGCUACCUGUAUAAAUUGAUCCUGCAAACAAUAAACUGCGCUAGCUUGAUCAGACAUCCUGUCUUGCUGAUUUUCCUCUGUGUCCCUUGCUUGUUUCAUUUCUGCAGGCGUCUCCGGCGAAGCCCCCGAAUAAGUUGUCCCGCGGGCCGGGGCAGUCUGGCGCCCAACGUGGGGCUCGACGGGACUCCUGCUGAAACAUCUACUCGUAGUCCUGGCCAGGCACUCAUUUGAGACGUCGCGCGGGUAGGAGCCUGACGCCAACUCUGCAUUGACGAUCACUGCGGCCCACCCGUCCGUAAUACAGAUCCGUGAGAGGAAGAAGAAACAUUCAUCAUCAGGUAAAACAAAUCCACCCAACUUUAGACCCGCAGCCAGCAACCUCGCCUGCCCACUUUGCUAUCAUGUCUGUUAUCCAUUUCCUUGUCGCUACUGUGAUGAUCCCUGCCAUCCUUGGAGGAUUCGGGCCCCCUCCCUCCAGAGAAGAACUCUACAAACAAUUAGCUGGAAUUCCUUGUGAGUGUAAGGGCGGAUUUGUUUCAGGGCCAGUCCCCCUUAUGAAUCUCAAUCAAGGGGGACCUAAGAAUCCCCAUUCAGGGGGACAUAUAAUAAGUGUGGAUUGUCACGAUAAAACAGCAUACUUGUCAGCAGACUCCUCUCCAGGCGGAUUAUCAUCCGGAUUAGGGUAUGGGCGCCUUUCUUGGAAAUGUGCAAAAAAGCCCAAAAUUAUACCCCCAGUUAAUGGCAAACCAGGGCCUUGUCCCAAUCCGUGCAAAAAGGUCACUGCACUGCACUCUACCUGCUACGCCAGUGUCCAACAGUGCACCGAUACUGAGGGUAAAAUAUCUCUCACAGCUACCUUACUAAAGACUUAUUCUGGUUCUUCUGGAGGCGACUGGGAUGAUAGCACUCUAAGAGGGGGAAGAAAUUCUAAAUAUGCACAGGCUUCUUGUGUUGGUAGCAUAGGCCAAUUCAUGUGCUGGCCACCACAAGCACCUCUUCAUAUAUCUGAUGGCGGCAGACCAACAGAUAAGGUAAGCCCAAGUCAAAGAAAGAAUUGAAGAUCUUAUUAAAGCAAUAUACCCCCCUCUAGAGUACCACCCUUUAGCCUUGCCCAAGUCUCGUGGCAUAGAUCUUGACACCCAAACUGCUGAUAUUCUAGAGGCCACUCAUAAUGCACUGAACAUCACCAAUCCCAGUCGCGCUGAAAACUGCUGGCUAUGCAUGACCCUUGGUACGCCUAUGCCCCUUGCAAUUCCCACUAAUGCUACCACCAGCCUGCCAGAACAGAAUUGCACUCUCAACUCACCCUUUAGAGUGCAACCUGUAGGAUUUAACAUAUCCCUAUGCAUACAAAAGCAGCCACAGAAUAACAGUGAUGAUACAGAUGUAGGGAUUGCUUCAUUCACAGAUUGUUCCCAAGUUUUUAAUUAUACCUCAUCCAUUUGCCCCCCUAAUGGACAGGUUUUUCUCUGUGGAGGAAACCUGGCCUACACUGCCUUACCCACAAACUGGACAGGGGUUAUGUGUGCAGGCCAGCAUUCUCCCAGAUAUUGAUAUCAUCCCAGGAGAAGAACCUGUCCCUAUACCCAGCUUUGAGUUUAUAGCAGGACAUCCAUGCUCUAAAAGAGCCAUCCAGUUCAUUCCACUUCUAAUUGGCCUAGGAAUUACCUCUGCAGUAGUUACAGGAACAGCAGGAGCAGGAAUAGCCAUACAUUCCUAUCAUAAGUUAUCCAAUUAAUUAAUGAUGUUGAUGCCCUCUCUAAAACAAUUACUGACCUCCAAGACCAAAUAGACUCUCUAGCAGAAGUUUUACAAGACCGUAGGGGCCUAGACCUCCUCAGCAGAGCAGGGAGGUGUCUGGCUUUACAGGGAAAAUGCUCCUUCUACGCCAACAAGUCGGGUAUUGUUCGGGAUAAGAUAAAGACCCUCCAGGAUGACCUUGAAAAAAAAGUUGUGUGACAAUCCCCUUUGGACUGGAUUAAAUGGACUUCUCUCUUACCUUCUCCCCAUUUUAGGCCCAUUCCUAGGAUUGCUAUUAUUACUAUCUUUUGGCCCCUGGGCUUUUAAAAGGCUUACAAUGUUGAUCAAACAGCAAAUUGACUCCCUUAUAGCAAGACCUAUCCAAGUCCAUUAUUGCCUUGACUUGGCUGACCAAGGCGGGGAUCUUUAUGCGGAGCCUCAUACCCGAAGAGACCCAACAGUAACCAGAGAGUAAAACUGAGACAAGCCAUGUCAAGGUUCCUUGACAAACAUUCCUGGGCAAUUAGACGGGUAGUCAAUGACGGGUAACUAAGAGGAUAUACCUGCAAACAAGACCUUUAGGGGCCGAUCUAAUACUGGGGCAAGCUCCUAUGUAUAUAGGCCGAUUCAGUAUUAGAGCAAGCUCCCCUGAGAACUCCAGGCCGACUCCAGAAGGAGGCAAGCUCCUGGAAACGGGCCUGGUAUAAAACCUCUAGACCUAAGACAGGCACCGUCUGCCCAGUGGAUAAGUGGCUUAAAGCACUUUAGUAAGUGCUCCAAACCCUCCUAAAAGAAUAGAAAAGGAGGAGAUGCCGGGGACCAAAGGACCCCCCCACCCACAAAAUGGCGAACUUCCUGUUUCUCUUCCGGGUUUCCUGCUCCCGCCGGCACCACCUAAGGUCCAAUCGCCUUCUGACCCACCCCUUCCUCGCUACCUGUAUAAAUUGAUCCUGCAAACAACUGCGCCAGCUUGAUCAGACAUCCUGUCUUGCUGGUCUUCCUCUGUG